rnacentral:rRNA from 1 species
UACGGAGGAUGCGAGCGUUAUCCGGAUUUAUUGGGUUUAAAGGGUGCGUAGGCGGGCUUUUAAGUCAGCGGUAAAAAUUCGGGGCUCAACCCCGUCCGGCCGUUGAAACUGGGGGCCUUGAGUGGGCGAGAAGAAGGCGGAAUGCGUGGUGUAGCGGUGAAAUGCAUAGAUAUCACGCAGAACCCCGAUUGCGAAGGCAGCCUUCCGGCGCCCUACUGACGCUGAGGCACGAAAGUGCGGUGAUCGAACAGG